rfam:Stegodyphus mimosarum contig88296, whole genome shotgun sequence.
GCCUUCGUGGUGUAGUGGUCAGCAUGCUCAACGCGUAACCAAGAGGUCUGUGGUUCGAUUCCCGGCGAAGGCG